GUAUAUAUAGCCCUAUCUGGCAUGGAGCUCACAGAAUUUCACCUGCCUCUGCCACAGUAGUGCUGGAUCAUUUGGUCUUGACCGUGUGAGGAUGUGGCUAUGUUGACCUCACUAAUUUACAUUCUAUCCCCCACAGACACUUGCUAUAGACUUUCAUCAAAGGAUGUCAAGUAAAGUGUGCUCCAGGAGACACAGCUAAGAAACUUUGGAGAUAGGACACAGCAUUGCAGCUGGCAAGGACUUGGGAAAUCAAAUCCAAGCUGUCCCCUCUCAGAGGAGAGUGACUGAGGGGACCCAGGCAGGCGGUCAGAGGCUGCGCGUGGCUCCAGGCGCUCCUGUCAUGACUACACUAACUCGUCCUUCCUCGAUGCCACGAUUCCGUCCAGCGUGGGUCACCUGACAUUUUGCUUACUUGUCUGUGAUUCCAUCUUCUACUGAAGACCAGCAGAGACUUCCAGCCUCAGGAACUGAGAACUUCCAGAUUCUUGGACUUUCCUUCCUAUACAGCUGUUGUGGAAUAAGGCAGACUGCAUCCUAUAUUGGACUACCUGAGAUACUGCCACAUAAUGAAUCAUGACAUGAGAAAAGCCACAGAGGUGAGAGUCAGAGGGAGCCACAAGUGUCCCCAGGAGAUGUGGUCAAUGACAAAGAUAGGGAGGAGCCAGACCAGCCUUCAUCCUAGCCUGCUCAGGAAGAAAGGCCUGGAACUUGAGAACUGAAACAGAACUUGGAAUGGGACUUACUCGUUACAUUGUGACCAGGUUCUGCUCCUGCAGAAGAAUGGUCCCUGCUGCCACAUACGCUUUACCAUUGGCCGACCUUAAAGCACAGUUCAGUCAACAACACUGCCUGGUCUGUUCCAAGGUGGGAAUAGAAUGCAUCGCAGAACUCAUGGCUCCGGCAUGAUCAGUCAGACGGCUCUCAGUCAAGUGCUGCUCUGCUGAGGCUGUGUUCCAAGGCCGUUGUCAACACCUCCAACACCACACACACGUGUUGAGAAGGCCUAGCAGAGCAGAGAGUGGCUGGAGACCAGUCCAAGCUGUCAUCAUGGUGUUUCAGACAUGGCUGUCACAGGGUAACUGAAAACUUACGGAUGAAAGUAGAAGUUGAAAAUGUUGCAUGAACCAGAGGAACAGGACAAUAUAUACCCAUUACCAAUUCCUUCAUGCCUUUUCAGUUUUCAAAUAAUACCUCUCCUACAUUCUUUGUGAUAAGAUGUGCAAACACACACACACACACACACACACACACACACACACACUUACUGAUAAAAAGACACACCGUUAUAUCCAGACUCAAACCUGUCGAAUUUCUUCAAUCUUUAAUUUGAAAUGACGCCCCUGCCCCACAUUUAUCCUCAAUUAUUGUUAACAAAAACAUAUACUUGUGGGUUGGAGAAAUUUUUAUGUGUGCAUAAAGCCUUCAUGUCUGUAUCUAAAUUGUAAUAUGAAUAGGAGAACAGUGGACUGACAAGUAUUAUUUAUGUUUUAACAUACAUUUUUUCAGUAUUUCUGCAUUACAUAAGGUCUAUUUACUUAAACAUUUAUUAGAUUGGUUUGUCAGUUUUAUUCUAAAUGAUUAUUUUUAACAUGCAUAUUCAUUG